rnacentral:rRNA from 1 species
AGCAGCCGCGGUAAUUCCAGCUCCAAUAGCGUAUAUUAAAGUUGUUGCAGUUAAAAAGCUCGUAGUUGAAUUUCGGGAUUGACGUGACGGUCAUGCCUUAAGGGGUAUGAACUGUUACAGUUGAUUUCUCACCUUCUGGAGAAACUUGAUGUCCUUUAUUGGGUGUCUUGCGGAUCCAGGACCUUUACCUUGAAAAAUUAGAGUGUUUAAAGCAGGCAUUUUUGCUCGAAUACAUUAGCAUGGAAUAAUAGAAUAGGACGGCAUGGUUCUAUUUUGUUGGUUUCUAGGAUCACCGUAAUGAUUAAUAGGGAUAGUUGGGGGCAUUAGUAUUCAAUUGUCAGAGGUGAAAUUCUUGGAUUUAUUGAAGACUAACUACUGCGAAAGCAUUUGCCAAGGAUGUUUUCAUUAAUCAAGAACGAAAGUUAGGGGAUCGAAGACGAUCAGAUACCGUCGUAGUCUUAACCAUAAACUAUGCCGACUAGGAAUCAGACGAUGUUAAUUUUUUAAUGUACUCGUUUUG